CCUGGCUUCCUCUGCAGGGCUUGGCCUUCCGUGCCUACUGAGCUGAUACUCAGUUGCUUUAGAUAAACUGGCUCAGUUCAGCAGGAACAGGAGUCCAGCCCAGUCCAUGCAAGGACUCAA
rnacentral:precursor_RNA from 11 species